GAAGGUUUCGGAUCGUAAACUCUGUUGUUAGGGAAGAACAGUGCAUAGUACUGAUGGCCCUUGACGGUACCUAACCAGAAAGCCACGGCUAACUACGUGCCAGCCAGCCGCGGUAAUACGUACCGUGGCAAGCGUUGUCCGGAAUUAUUGGGCGUAAAGCGCGCGCAGGCGGUUCCUUAAGUCUGAUGUGAAAGCCCACGGGGUCAACCAGUGGAGGGUCAUUGGAAACUGGGGAACCUGAGUGCAGAAGAGGACAGUGGAAUUCCACGUGUAGCGGUGAAAUGCGUAGAUAUGUGGAGGAACACCAGUGGCGAAGGCGACUCUCUGGUCUGUAACUGACGCUGAGGCGCGAAACCCGUGGGGAGCCAACAGGAUUACAUACCCUGGUAG
rnacentral:rRNA from 1 species